rnacentral:misc_RNA from 1 species
UAACGGGCACCGUCGAAGCAGACGAGACCUACGUAGGCGGCAAGGUUCGCGGCCACCGUGCCCACCGCAUAAAGGGCAUGACCAUGAGCGAUGCGGUCAAGGCCGGUUACGACAAGAAGACCCAGGUGUUCGGGAUGUUGGAGCGUGGCGGUCGCGUGCGGGCGAUGGCGGUCCCUGCGAAGGGCCGACGCAUAAGCCAGCGUGACGUACAGGGUGCCAUCCUAGAGAACGUGGAUGUGAAGAACUCGGCUCUAAUGACCGACGAACACGACUACUACUUCGGCAUAGAGCGCCACCUACCGCACGACGUGAUCCGCCACAAGUCGGAGUACGUGCGCGGGGCUACCCACACU